UCAACGCUGGCGGCGUGCCUCAGACAUGCAAGUCGAACGCGAAAGUCCCCUUCGGGGGACAAGUAGAGUGGCGCACGGGUGAGUAACACGUAGGUAAUCUACCUUUGGAUGGGGAAUAACAACCGGAAACGGUUGCUAAUACCGCAUAAUGCAGCGGCACCUAAUGGUGACAGUUGUUAAAGCGGGGGAUCGAAAGACCUCGCGUCUAAAGAGGAGCCUGCGGCGGAUUAGCUAGUUGGUAAGGUAAUGGCUUACCAAGGCUACGAUCCGUAACCGGCCUGAGAGGGCGGUCGGUCACACUGACACUGACAUACGGGUCAGACUCCUACGGGAGGCAGCAGUCGGGAAUUUUGGGCAAUGGGCGAAAGCCUGACCCAGCAACGCCGCGUGAAGGAUGAAAUCCCUCGGGAUGUAAACUUCGCAAGAACGGGAAGAAUAAGUA
rnacentral:rRNA from 1 species